UUUAUGGAGAGUUUGAUCCUGGCUCAGGAUGAACGCUGGCGGCGUGCCUAAUACAUGCAAGUCGAGCGAACGGACGAGAAGCUUGCUUCUCUGAUGUUAGCGGCGGACGGGUGAGUAACACGUGGAUAACCUACCUAUAAGACUGGGAUAACUUCGGGAAACCGGAGCUAAUACCGGAUAAUAUUUUGAACCGCAUGGUUCAAAAGUGAAAGACGGUCUUGCUGUCACUUAUAGAUGGAUCCGCGCUGCAUUAGCUAGUUGGUAAGGUAACGGCUUACC
rnacentral:rRNA from 1 species